CACAUGCAAGUCGAACGAGAAAGGGGCUUCGGCCCUGAGUACAGUGGCGCACGGGUGAGUUACACGUGGGUAAUCUACCUUCUGGCGGGGGACAACAACUCGAAAGGGUUGCUAAUACCGCAUAUGUCCGCGCAAGCGGGGAAAGGCGGCGCAAGCUGUCACCAGAAGAUGAGCCCGCGGCCCAUCAGCUAGUUGGUAGGGUAACGGCCUACCAAGGCACCGACGGGUAGCUGGUCUGAGAGGAUGAUCAGCCACACUGGAACUGAGACACGGUCCAGACUCCUACGGGAGGCAGCAGUGGGGAAUAUUGCGCAAUGGGCGAAAGCCUGACGCAGCGACGCCGCGUGGGUGAUGAAGGCCUUCGGGUCGUAAAGCCUUGUUGGAGAGGGACGAACAACUCAGGGGAAUAAUACCCCCUGGGCCUGACGGUACCUUUCCAGAAAGCACCGGCUAACUCCGUGCCAGCAGCCGCGGUAAUACGGAGGGUGCAAACGUUGUUC
rnacentral:rRNA from 1 species